rnacentral:misc_RNA from 1 species
CUGAGUUAUCUAACUCCAAACCCAUGUGAACAUACCUAUCGUUGCCUCGGCGGGAACAACCUACCCGGGACCUACCCGGUAGCUACCCUGUAGCUGAGGUUGCCUCCGCCGGUGGACUACUAAACUCUUGUUUUUAUGUGGCACUUCUGAGUACACUUUUAAAAUAAGUCA